CGCGUAGGCGGUUGUGUUAGUCAGAUGUGAAAUACUUCAGCUCAACUGAAGAAAUGCAUUUGAUACUGCAUAACUAGAGUACAGGAGAGGGAAAUGGAAUUCCCGGUGUAGAGGUGAAAUUCGUAGAUAUCGGGAGGAGCACCAGUGGCGAAGGCGAUUUCCUGGCCUGAUACUGACGCUGAGGCGCGAAAGCGUGGGGAGCAAACA
rnacentral:rRNA from 1 species